AACUUCUUUAUCACCGAGUGCUUGCACUCACCGAUAAAGAGUUGAGUGGCGAACGGGUGAGUAACACGUGGGCAACCUGCCCAAAAGAGGGGGAUAACACUUGGAAACAGGUGCUAAUACCGCAUAACCAUAGUUACCGCAUGGUAACUAUGUAAAAGGUGCCUAUACUACCGCUUUUGGAUGGGCCCGCGGCGCAUUAGCUAGUUGGUAGGGUAAAGGCUUACCAAGGCAAUGAUGCGUAGCCGAAUUGAGAGGUUGAUCGGCCACAUUGGGACUGAGACACGGCCCAAACUCCUACGGGAGGCAGCAGUAGGGAAUCUUCCACAAUGGGCGAAAGCCUGAUGGAGCAACGCCGCGUGGGUGAAGAAGGUCUUCGGAUCGUAAAACCCUGUUGUUAGAGAAGAAAGUGCGUGAGAGUAACUGUUCACGUUUCGACGGUAUCUAACCAGAAAGCCACGGCUAACUACGUGCCAGCAGCCGCGGUAAUACGUAGGUGGCAAGCGUUAUCCGGAUUUAUUGGGCGUAAAGGGAACGCAGGCGGUCUUUUAAGUCUGAUGUGAAAGCCUUCGGCUUAACCGGAGUAGUGCAUUGGAAACUGGGAGACUUGAGUGCAGAAGAGGAGAGUGGAACUCCAUGUGUAGCGGUGAAAUGCGUAGAUAUAUGAAGAACACCAGUGGCGAAAGCGGCUCUCUGGUCUGUAACUGACGCUGAAGUUCGAAAGCGUGGGUA
rnacentral:rRNA from 1 species